rnacentral:rRNA from 1 species
AUUGAACGCUGGCGGCAGGCCUAACACAUGCAAGUCGAGCGGAUGAAGGGAGCUUGCUCCUGGAUUCAGCGGCGGACGGGUGGGUAAUGCCUAGGAAUCUGCCUGGUAGUGGGGGAUAACGUCCGGAAACGGGCGCUAAUACCGCAUACGUCCUGAGGGAGAAAGUGGGGGAUCUUCGGACCUCACGCUAUCAGAUGAGCCUAGGUCGGAUUAGCUAGUUGGUGGGGUAAAGGCCUACCAAGGCGACGAUCCGUAACUGGUCUGAGAGGAUGAUCAGUCACACUGGAACUGAGACACGGUCCAGACUCCUACGGGAGGCAGCAGUGGGGAAUAUUGGACAAUGGGCGAAAGCCUGAUCCAGCCAGGCCGCGUGUGUGAAGAAGGUCUUCGGAUUGUAAAGCACCUUAAGUUGGGAGGAAGGGCAGUAAGUUAAUACCUUGCUGUUUGGACGUGACCAACAGAAUAAGCACCGGCUAACUUCGU